UACGAAGGGGGCUAGCGUUGCUCGGAAUCACUGGGCGUAAAGCGCACGUAGGCGGCUUCUUAAGUCAGGGGUGAAAUCCUGGAGCUCAACUCCAGAACUGCCUUUGAUACUGAGGAGCUUGGAGUCCGGGAGAGGUGAGUGGAACUGCGAGUGUAGAGGUGAAAUUCGUAGAUAUUCGCAAGAACACCAGUGGCGAAGGCGGCUCACUGGUCCGGUACUGACGCUGAGGUGCGAAAGCGUGGGGAGCAAACAGG
rnacentral:rRNA from 1 species